rnacentral:rRNA from 1 species
UACGGGGGGGGUAAGCGUUGUUCGGAAUUACUGGGCGUAAAGCGUGCGCAGGCGGUUUUGUAAGCCAGAUGUGAAAUCCCCGGGCUUAACCUGGGAAUGGCAUUUGGGACUGCAAGGCUGGAGUGCGGCAGAGGAGACUGGAAUUCCUGGUGUAGCAGUGAAAUGCGUAGAUAUCAGGAGGGACACCGAUGGCGAAGGCAGGUCUCUGGGCUGACACUGACGCUCAUGCACGAA